GGAGCAGCAACGAUGUUACGCAGCAGGGCAGUCGCCCUAAAACAAAGUUAACCUCUGAGGAA
rnacentral:sRNA from 3 species